rnacentral:tRNA from 1 species
AAAUAGAAAGCUAUAUAGCAAUUAAUUUCGACUUAAUCAAUUGAAUAAUAAAUUAUUCUCUAUUUA